rnacentral:SRP_RNA from 1 species
GCCGGGCGCGGUGGCUCACGCCUGUAAUCCUAGCACUUUGGGAGGCUGAGGUGGGUGGAUCACUUGAGGUCAGGAAUUCGUGACCAGCCUGGCCAACAUGGUGAAACCCCAUCUCUA